GACGAGAUUUCACUGGAAGAGCACUGCUGUGGCGAGAUGGGUCUAUAUUCUAUGCCCUCACGCGACUCAAAUCCUACAAGAUUUGAUAAAUUUACCAACUCAGGUUCUGUCUUCGAUUCUUGAUCUACUCUGGAGAUCAUAUCAAUGGAGCGUCUUUUAAUUUCUGGGAUACCAACAGGAUUUUGCUUCAAUCUUUUCUUCAGGUGGGUGU
rnacentral:misc_RNA from 1 species